GACGAACGCUGGCGGCGUGCUUAACACAUGCAAGUCGAACGAAGAGCGAUGGAAGCUUGCUUCUAUCAAUCUUAGUGGCGCACGGGUGAGUAACGCGUAAUCAACCUGCCCUUCAGAGGGGGACAACAGUUGGAAACGACUGCUAAUACCGCAUACGAUCUAAUCUCGGCAUCGAGGAUAGAUGAAAGGUGGCCUCUACAUGUAAGCUAUCACUGAAGGAGGGGAUUGCGUCUGAUUAGCUAGUUGGAGGGGUAACGGCCCACCAAGGCGAUGAUCAGUAGCCGGUCUGAGAGGAUGAACGGCCACAUUGGGACUGAGACACGGCCCAGACUCCUACGGGAGGCAGCAGUGGGGAAUCUUCCGCAAUGGACGAAAGGCUGACGGAGCAACGCCGCGUGAGUGAUGACGGCCUUCGGGUUGUAAAGCUCUGUUAAUCGGGACGAAAGGCCUUCUUGCGAAUAGUGAGAAGGAUUGACGGUACCGGAAUAGAAAGCCACGGCUAACUACGUG
rnacentral:rRNA from 1 species